GUUCACCAUUUUGUGUGUCCAAGGACCACCUACUUUUUACAUAUGACAAGAACUACCCACCUCCACUCUUCAGGACAGAACAUGCUGGAGAAAAGAGUUACAAUGAGAAAAUAUAUGGGAACAAAAUACCUAUGCAAUGCAGAAGUCUGCAUAACUAAACCACUCAGAGGAAAAAAUGUUAACUACUCAUCUAUGUCAAAUUAAUUAUGCUCAUUGGAUUAUUUUACUUUUAUUCAAAUUUUGUUAUCUGGUACUUAUUAUAUAGAAUAUGCAAAUCGAAGUCCUGUCCUUCAGCAAUCAAUAAGGUAAAGAAGAAGAAAGACAAAAAUGAGUAGAAUUUUAUGAUAAUUUAAGAUACAAACAGACUUCGCUUUGGAUGAUAGUGUGAGAUCAUAAAAAUUACUAUGAAAGCUGAAACUGUGCAAAUAAACCUUAACAAUCAA
rnacentral:lncRNA from 1 species